GGAGGCAUGGCGAAACAGGUAGACGCGCUAUCUUCAGAGGGUAGUAUCUUUUGAUGUGUGAGUUCAAGUCUCAUUGCCUCCA
rnacentral:tRNA from 1 species